GCUGGCACUGAUUGGGUCACACCUGAAACUUAUGACCUUCCAGAUGAACACAGUACUGGGACUUGCCCAAGACCCACAGCCACUACUUCCUGCCUGCCUGCUGCUGCUGUUUAUUCAAGACCAAAGAAGGGCACUUUAGAUCAAUAAAUGUCCACAGGACAAAAGCAGUGCCAACUGUGGGGCUCACCUUCCUGGAUUCCUGUCUUCUUCCUAGAUCUUGGUCCGAUGAAUUAUGUAUCUGAAAUGGCUGGCAACCUCAGCUGCAGGACACUUUGAGGAGACGGCUGAUUGCAGAUCUAGGGCAGAGAAUGAAUAAGGUCAUUCUUCCUGCUUUGAUCAAGCAAUCAUCAUGUCCCUUUAGUUGACAGUCAGUAUUAACCAUCGCAGGAGGAGAGCAUGAGCUACCUUCCAGACCUGCUUCUCCAAGAACACAGUGAACUUGGCCCGGCAGAGCUGUGGUUUGUGUCCACCCCCAUAGCUUAUGUCCUUUGAUGUUCCGCCUGACUAAUGGCCUGUCCAUUCUCCUUCAGGACACAUAAGGUGAUGUCUUCCUGUUCUUCCUAAUGGCAUUUUUGGCCCACUACUAUGAAAAAAGAUCACAUUAAUACAUAAACUGCCCCAUGGAACAGAUUCUAACUUGGAGAUAUGAUUUAAAAGCUCUAUAUAACCCUCAAAUAUCUUUAAGAAAGGUCACUUAAAUUCCUACUGAGAUUUUUUUCAGUGGUCUUCCAGAAAAAAAGAAAAAUUAAUUUUUACCUGGAAGCAGUAGUGCAUUGGCGUAGUUUAUUAGAGCUGUUUAGCCCACUAUCAUGAAAAAACUUAUUUGAUCAUCAUUUUCUUAUCUAGCAUAUCAGAGGUCCUUGAGGAAAUUGGAAACGGGCAGGUAGGAAAUCGGAUGGGGUGAUGUAAGGAUGAAACUGAUUGUGCAUUAGGGUUUUAUUCUACUCUGGAUAGAGAAGGUUGCUGAAGAAACUCAUGAAAUCUUUAUGAGCGUGUGUGUAUGUGUCUCCAAGCACAGGGAGGUACUGAAGACUCAUGAAUAAUAGAACUGGAGCUAAAAGAAGGUAUUACAUGCGAAAAAUAUAUGGAUUAAGGGCAUUAGACACAAACAUCUGCCUGCUUCACAAUACUGUCCAGGGUUGGCCUGAAGGGUAAGAAGCAGGCCUGCCUCUAACAUUUGUGGGGCUGAGUAAGGAUCACAUUAAUGCCCUAAUUACAUAUAUCUAAAUAUUUAAAAGGUAUACAUUAAACCAAUGAACUAUUAAGUAAAAUCUGUUUCUUUCUUUUUUUUUUUUUUUUUUCAUU
rnacentral:lncRNA from 1 species